GACGCUAAGUAGCGUCCGUUUAAUUAGUAUACCGUCCAAAUGGCGGAUGCUACAUAAGAGGUAUAAAUUAAAAAAAAACCUCCAGUCGACCAAACUAUCAACCAGACAACCCUAACCACACCUCUCUCUUCCUCACUCUCAUCUCACAUUUUGGUGCUCUCUUUUUCUUUCAGAUCUCACGAAAUCAGGUUAUGUGUCUACUUUGCGAAACAACGUUCGGUUUCGUGCGUGGGGAGCUGCAAUUGGCUGUAGUUAUCGUGUUGAACGUUGUUGUAUCAUGAAGAAAGGCGGUGGAACCAUUGAUCUUGAACCUUGCCUCACGCAUACAUCUACAAUUGAGCCUACCUUGGCUCCGGUUGCUGUGGAGCGCUCAAUGACAACUAGAGCUGCAGCCUCGAAAUGUUCAUUACAAUGCAGAAAUGUGAGCACCUAUCGUUCAAUUGAAAGAGAAGGAACAAAAUAAAAGGGAGUAUACCACAACUGAAAAUGUCAGCCAAGACAAAGAUGAGAAUAGGUGGCUGGCCUGGUGGUGCACUACCUCGGCAUUGGCAGUGGCUCGGACUAGUAUUAGAUUAAAGUUGUUGUAUUAGAUUUUAGUUACAAUGUAAUUAUACUAUUAUAGUACUAAAUUUUAGUAUUAGAUUGUAAUUAUAUAUAUUUAAUUUAAAUAAAAUUCUCAUUUGUUUAA